UACGUAGGGGGCAAGCGUUAUCCGGAUUUACUGGGUGUAAAGGGAGCGUAGACGGUGAUGCAAGUCAGAAGUGAAAGCCCGGGGCUCAACUCCGGGACUGCUUUUGAAACUGUGUGACUGGAGUGCAGGAGAGGUAAGCGGAAUUCCUAGUGUAGCGGUGAAAUGCGUAGAUAUUAGGAGGAACACCAGCGGCGAAGGCGGCUUACUGGACCGUAACUGACGCUCAGGCACGAAAGCGUGGGUAUCGAACAGG
rnacentral:rRNA from 1 species